UACCAGCACCCCGAGUGGUCGGGACGAUUAUUGGGCCUAAAGCAUCCGUAGCCGGUUUUACAAGUCCUCCGUUAAAUCCAACUGCUUAACAGAUGGGCUGCGGAGGAUACUAUAAGACUAGGAGGCAGGAGAGGCAAGCGGUACUCAGUGGGUAGGGGUAAAAUCCGUUGAUCCAUUGAAGACCACCAGUGGCGAAGGCGGCUUGCCAGAAUGCGCUCGACGGUGAGGGAUGAAAGCUGGGGGAGCAAGCCGG
rnacentral:rRNA from 1 species